GACGAACGCUGGCGGCGUGCUUAAUACAUGCAAGUCAACUGAACUUGAAGUAGCAAUAUUUCAAGGGAGGUGGCGCACGGGUGAGUAACACGUAGGUAAUCUGCCUUUAGGUCUGACAUAAUUCCGCGAAAGCGGGACUAAUUUCAGAUGAUGCAGCGGCUCGACAUCGAGACAGUUGUUAAAUCUUCGGAGCCUAAAGAUGAGCCUGCGUCUGAUUAGGUAGUUGGCGGAGUAAAAGCCCACCAAGCCUGCGAUCAGUAGCUGGUCUGAGAGGAUGAUCAGCCACACUGGAACUGAGACACGGUCCAGACUCCUACGGGAGGCAGCAGUAAGGAAUAUUGCUCAAUGGCCGAAAGGCUGAAGCAGCAACGCCGCGUGGAGGAUGAAAUACUUUUGUAUGUAAACUCCUGUAAGAAGGGAAAAUAUUCCGAUUUAUCGGGAUUGAUUGUACCUUCAGAGUAAGCCCCGGCUAACU
rnacentral:rRNA from 1 species